AACGAACGCUGGCGGCAGGCCUAACACAUGCAAGUCGAGCGAGGUAGCAAUACCUAGCGGCGGACGGGUGAGUAACGCGUGGGAACGUACCCUUUGCUACGGAAUAGCCCCGGGAAACUGGGAGUAAUACCGUAUGUGCCCUUCGGGGAAGAUUUAUCGGCAAAGGAUCGGCCCGCGUUGGAUUAGGUAGUUGGUGGGGUAAUGGCCUACCAAGGCGACGAUCUGUAGCGGGUCUGAGAGGAUGAUCCGCCACACUGGGACUGAGACACGGCCCAGACUCCUACGGGAGGCAGCAGUGGGGAAUUUUGGACAAUGGGCGCAAGCCUGAUCCAGCCAUGCCGCGUGCGGGACGAAGGCCUCGGUUGUAA
rnacentral:rRNA from 1 species